rnacentral:lncRNA from 1 species
UCACCACCGACACACAUCGACGUGCUCGCUGUGAAGAGAAAGGGAGACACCCGGAGAGUGAGAGAGAGGGGAUGGUAUAGGGCGCUGCCGAGGAGAAUCCAACGUAGUUGACGUUGACUCUCCUCCUUUCAUGGUAUUGCUCUUGCUCCUGGUGUAUUGCUGCUAUACUCGAUAGAGUAGUGGUAGUAGAGUUAAGGUGGUGGUAGUAAAGCUAGUGGUGGUGGAAAUGGUGGUGGUGGCAUGGAUUGCUUCCAGUGUUCGCGCGGCCGCUCCCUGUCGCACACGGACUACUCACCCCGACGCUACAGGCGUCGCGACGCUCAAACUAUCGGCGACGAAAACGUGCUCGAUCGUUAAGAGAAAAUAAUACAGUGUUAACUUUAUCGACGUUGUCGGAUAUUGUUUUCGGUUGAACGUAAAAUUGUCUUCGUCUUUUCUGGUUGUUUCAAUCGGAUAAAAUAUCGUGUCAACUUUGUGAAGUUUUAGAUUUCAAAGGUUCUCGCUCUGUAAGGAAUCUUGUCAUAUCAAACAGCGAAAGUAGACAUAUCAAAGGAAAUGGGAUCAAGUGAGGAAGAAAGAGAAAGAUUAAGAUAGAACAUUUUCCUUUUUUCUUUAUCUUUUUUGGAUUGAAGUACAUAUCGCAAAACGCAUAAAAGAAACUUGACCGAUGACGAGCGACUAAAACCAACAAGUGUCUUAAAUCAACAAGUCCGAACUACCAAGGUCGUCGUCGUCGUCGUCGUCGUCGUCGUCAUAGUCAUAGUCAUAGUCAUAGUCAUAGUCAUAGUCAUAGAGAGAACGGAAAUUUACGGACAAGUUUUUCUCUUCUCAUGAUCGAAAGUUUUUUAUUAUUAUUUCUGUAUGAAGUAAAGAUCGAGAUCUGAAGAAAUAAUAAAAAUACAAAUAUAUAAAAGAGAAGAAGAAAUUCAAGGGAAAGGAUUUCUGUUUUAUUUCUCUUACGAUCGGUGUAUAUAUCAAUAAAUCUAUGAGAGAAACGUGCUCUACGGUUUACGAUAAAACGAGUAACGAAAGUCGAUUGUUUUUCGAAGAAGAAGAAGAAGAA